GAUGAACGCUGGCGGCGUGCCUAACACAUGCAAGUCGAGCGAACGGACGAGAAGCUUUCUUCUCUGAUGUUAGCGUCGCACGGGUGAGUAACAUGUGUAUAACCUACCUAAAAGACUGGGAUAACCUCGGGAAACCGGAGCUAAUUCCGGAUAAUAUCCUGAAGCGCAUGGUUCAAAAGUGAAAGACGGUCUUGCUGUCACUUAUAGAUGGAUCGACGCUGCAUUAGCUAGUUGGUAAGGUAACGGCUUACCAAGGCAACGAUGCGUAGCCGACCUGAGAGGAUGAUCGGCCACACUGGAACUGAGACACGGUCCAGACUCCUACGGGAGGCAGCAGUAGGGAAUCUUCGGCAAUGGGCGAAAGCCUGACGCAGCAACGCCGCGUGAGUGAUGAAGGUCUUCGGAUCGUAAAGCUCUGUUAUUGGGAAAGAAAAUAUUUGGACGUAACUGUUGAGAGCUUGACGGUACCUAAUCAGAAAGCAACGGCUAACUACGUG
rnacentral:rRNA from 1 species